UAUUCUAGAGAAUUAAGUCAUUGUAAACGCUGUAUAAAUCAUCUGUCAAGAUGUUAAAGGCCUUAUGAUGAAGUUAUUGUAAAUAUUAUAUAAUUUAAUCGUGAUGUUCUUAAUAAGAAUUCUGUCCUUAUGUAAGAUAUGUACUGAAAAAUAUAUUCAUAAUUUACGUAAUUUGUUUUUGUGUAGGUUUCACCAGCGCUUUGAUCGCUGGGAUAACAUACCUAGAUUGAAUGGAUUUUGAGCAAUUUGCUUGCCUGUGUAAAGUAUUAUUUUUAAUUUUAUUGUCAAGUUAUCACAAUUAAUGUUUGGAAUUCAAAUUAAGUUAUUACAAUUAUUAAGAUUUUACAUUUCUUAAUUAGGUAUAAACUUUGUUUUGUUUGUUAUACUCGCACUAGUAAUCAUUAGUAAAGGUUGUGUGUUGUGUGUUAAUUGAUAGUAGAAUAUACAUGGAAUGGCCAAAUAUGACUGUUUUGUUAUGUCAAGCUGAAUUCUAAAACAAUUGUUUUUGUUGUAAAAAUACACCAUUUUUUUAAAGAAAGGUUUGUUUUUGUGUUUUUAUCCAUCUCCAUAUACUAACCCAAAUUACCAACUAUGAUAUCCUUUUAUCUAGCUAGACUUAUAUAGACUGAUGCCAUAAAAUUCAUAGAAUAAUAGGUACCUAUUUUUCCUCUUAGUGCCGCUCCUUACUCUCAACUAUGGUCCCAUCUGGCAGAAAGCACGAAACUUUGCAUGCCUAUAGAUUUUAGGUUUAUAAGAAUAAAUAGAAGCAUAAUAUGAAAACCAUAAACUAUAAGUUAUAACAAAAUAUUACCAAAGACAAUAUUGUAGAGAAUUUUAUGGAGAGUAUACUUCUAGACAUUUUUAUUGUAGGUUUCACAGUUUAAAUGAAAAUUUAUAAAAACUAAAAAUGGCGAUAUAAAAGUGGGGGGAGGGAUAGAAACAAUAACUUCUUCUUCUUCUAAAUCGGGCUAAGGAGCCGUACUAUCUUAAGGCUGCACCCGACGCCAACGACCUCGCGCGUGUGGCCGGAGCUGAUACCUCUUACCGCACCACCCGCUGCAAAAGAUCGAGCGCGCAGAACUAUACGUUUGAAAUAGAAUUUCACUUGCUCGCGCACAGGUCCGUCUAGCAACACGACUUGCCCCGCACUGACUUUACGGACGAGAGCGGGGUAGUGGUAGGCAGGAACCUAGGCGGGAUUUAGGCUUAUUUUUUUAGCAUUUGAGGCAUAUUUUUAUGAAUUUGCAAAAAGCAAGAAAACCAAAUCAUUAUAAUAUAGUGUUUUGUCAGAAAGAUUGUAAAGUUUCAUAAAUUUUCGAUAAAAGUUGCAGUAUUCAUAAAGAUACAACUGAAAGAAAUAGGGUUAAUUUCAAGAUUUUUUUUCUACACUUUUUUAAAUUAAAAUAGAUUUCCAGAAAAACCACAUCAUUUCCCAUGCCUUGUAGCUUGUUAUUUUUUUUUUCUACUCAAAAGUUGUCAUAUUUAAUAUAAAAAAUGGUUCAGAGUAACUUAUUUUUACGGUAUUUUGAAGGAGGAACCUUAAUGCUCCUUUUUAUUGAACUGGAAAUCAGUGGGGCCCUUGAAUAAUGACACACCCACUCAAACAUAUUACAAAAUAUACUCUUGAACUGAGUCGAUGUUUUAGACUUAUGAUUGCCAAUUUCCGCUUCUACUUACCUACUCUUAUAUAGAUGUGCCGUCAAUAGAAGUAAUAAAUAAAUCGUAUCCAAUUUAAGACGAAGAUUUUCAAAAAUUACCACGUUUCUAUGCCAUCAAAAUUGAUAAAAUAUUCAUAUACUACCAAGGAAUUUGAACUGUGUCAUUUUGUACAUUCUGACAAUAACAAAAAUAUGAGAUUUCUAUCAGUGUUCAUAUUGAUUUUCACUUUGACAAAGUCGCCAUCAGACCUAUCGGAGCGGCCAAGGCGCUCAUAAAUAUUUGAACACGCCUCUACUGUCAAGGCGUUUGAGUACAUUAUUUAUUUAAUCGUAUGGCAUUAUACAUAUUAUAUAGAUACUCGUAUAGAUAAAUCACCUAACUCCAGAGAAUUAACAGUCGUUCAGUUUAAUCAUGUCUUCCAGGGGGCCUCCACUACAACGAAGAUGGGUACUCUUGGAAAAUAUGUCGGACUACUCUGUUCCUCGGCACCACAGUGACAGGCAGGAGUCUCCACCCAGCGGCAACGAUAUUUAUAUAGGACACAGCGACUGUGGCCGGUGCGCAAUCCAUUAAGGUUACACCAUGUCCGCCUCAGCAGUUCAAACUCAUCUAUUUUCUUACCCAGAAUAAUCCCCGAUCCAAACUUUCCAUUCAUAGCAGUAGUCCAUAGUUGCGUCCACUCCCGGUUAGCGUUGUAGUCUUCUUUUUAUCGGGGGUCUUAGCGGGGAUUUAAAUCUUCUCGGAUCAGAGGUGUAGGGUUAGAGCCGGUGUAACUUUAUUUGACAUUCAUAAGCGCAUUGUAAUAUGCCUACUUGAAUAAUAAACUAUCAUAUCUUUAUCUUUUGAAUGAGUCAACGCAAUAUUGUAGGAAGGGUUCCUGGACUUCAGGCGACUGUUUACUAUUUACAGGUUGCGUGAAUUCAUUAUGUAUUUGUUAGAGUGCAUGAUGUUCGGAGUGCACCUCGGCUGUUCCGAUAUAUCUGAUGGCGACUUUGCGAAAUGGUGCAGAAAUCAAAUUCCUUGAGUAAUGUUAUAUACUUGCGGGCCUACCGCGAACCACGAUCGACGUGGUGCCUCCCUGUCACACUAACGUACGAAUUUAUAAGUGCAAUAGAGAGGCAACAUAUCGAACGUGGUUCGCAGUAGGCCCUCAAUGAUUACAUAAGUACGGCACAGAGGCGGGGUGGUUAGUGACCCCAUACGGGUUUUUAGACAGACACCCAAAGGAAAAUUGAGCAAGCUAAGCUCGAUGUUUCUCUGCAAGAUAGAAUUUGACUAGCCAGGUUUCUUGAAUUCGGUUAAUGAAUAUGUAUAUCUUAAAAUGAGACUGAGUACAAAACACGGAAAAAGUACCUUAGGUUUCCUAAAACCUCAUACAAUUUUAUGAUCCUACAUUUUCCUGUACAGAAUAAUUCAUGUUUAGUUCCCACUAUGCUUCUGUCUCGUUAUGAAAUUAAUUGCGAUGGUAACGCCAUUUUGUUUUCAAAGACUGAUUGUCCUAACCACUUACAAACACAUUGAUGCGUGUUCAGAUAGGUCGGGCGCACAUGACACUAAAAUGAUUUCCGUUGUAUGACGUGGCCACCCUGUACCUUUACUAAGAGUCCAGGGGAAAAACGAUGACAUAUUUUACGCCAUAUUGACACAAUAUAAUAUACCAGACUUUUAAUUUAAAAAUUUCGGGGACGGUGUCAAAAUUUACCUACAUAUUUCCUAAGUUUUCAAUAGUAAUAGUUGCUUGACAAUACCAUUAUGUAAAUACCAUAAAUCCAAUUAAAAUUAACACUUGUUGUUUUUACUCAUGAGUUUUCAUAUAAAGCCGUGAUCGCUCCGAGCAAGACCAGUUAUAAUAUAGCCGUAAAGCUGAUCACAUACUAUCAUGACGUCGCCUCUUAUUUGUGCCUUCUGCGUGGCUACAUUCGCGCACCUUAUCGCGAGUCAACCAGUAAACGAAAUUCAUAAAAGGAAAAUGAACGCGAGUGAAGAAAUAAAUAAAAAUAACCAGUAUAAAACUGCGCCAAGCGUUGGUGUGCCUAAUCGUAUAAAUGAAGAAUUUGAUAAAAAUGCAACGCAAAUUAACUCACUUGAACCAGACAAAAUAAUUCACAGUGAUUUAGAAACAGUUUUACCGAGUGGAAACAUAGUGCGCACAACACAAAUAGCUAAAAAACCGUACAGAAAUGGACAACGAAGAGUGCGAAGACAUAUUUUUACAACUAAAUGUCCUUCAAAUAAGAUAGCAAUUGGAUCAGAGUGUUUCACGUGUAAAGAAAUAAACUACGAAGAUGAUCGAUGUACUUGAACUAUGAUUGAACCAGCGACGGAUUUUCAAUAUUGAUUCUUGGAAGAAGGGUUGCCGUCAUCGAUAUAUAGAUACAUCGACUAUAGGAUGAAGCCAAAUUUAUUUAUUUUAUUGAAUAAGCGAAUGCUCAAUAGGUUAACUAAGUAGUUCCGAUAGUUUUAACAAGCUGGCUGACAGAGACAAGGCGAAACAUUUUACGCUU